rnacentral:rRNA from 1 species
UACGUAGGGUGCAAGCGUUAAUCGGAAUUACUGGGCGUAAAGCGUGCGCAGGCGGUUUUGUAAGUCUGUCGUGAAAUCCCCGGGCUCAACCUGGGAAUUGCGAUGGAGACUGCAAGGCUAGAAUCUGGCAGAGGGGGGUAGAAUUCCACGUGUAGCAGUGAAAUGCGUAGAGAUGUGGAGGAAUACCGAUGGCGAAGGCAGCCUCUUGGGCCAACACUGACGCUCA